CUCAGAUUGAACGCUGGCGGCAGGCCUAACACAUGCAAGUCGAGCGGUAACAGAGAGUAGCUUGCUACUUUGCUGACGAGCGGCGGACGGGUGAGUAAUGCUUGGGAACAUGCCUUGAGGUGGGGGACAACAGUUGGAAACGACUGCUAAUACCGCAUAAUGUCUACGGACCAAAGGGGGCUUCGGCUCUCGCCUUUAGAUUGGCCCAAGUGGGAUUAGCUAGUUGGUGAGGUAAUGGCUCACCAAGGCGACGAUCCCUAGCUGGUUUGAGAGGAUGAUCAGCCACACUGGGACUGAGACACGGCCCAGACUCCGUACGGGAGGCAGCGAGUGGGGAAUAUUGCACAAUGGGCGCAAGCCUGAUGCAGCCAUGCCGCGUGUGUGAAGAAGGUCCGUUCGGUUGUAACGCACUUUCAGUCGAGGAGGUAAAGGUUAAGUAGUUAACUACCUGCUGCUGUGUACGUUACUGACGAGAAGAACGC
rnacentral:rRNA from 1 species